rnacentral:lncRNA from 1 species
GAAAGAGGAAGUAACUUGUGGAAUGCUAAGAAAGCCUUGCUUUGGUAUCGGCACAUUUAAAGAAGUGGUUACCUCUUUCAGAAUUAAUGGAUUGGCUUCAGUUGGGAAAGCUGCGCUCACCUGUUGGUGAGCAUGAGGACAUCAACUGGAUGAAGUAUAUGGCUGAACCAAGUCUGAGGACAGGAGGGAAACAGACAACUGUUGCAUUCCUGUCCACAGAGCCUCUCCCUGAAGAAGACUCAAUUAUGCGGCCAGCAUCCUAACCCUGGGCUGUAGUCACUUUCGAUCUCAUGAUUUUUCAUCACUUUUACCCAUGCCUGGUGACUGAACCAUCUAGAAACAAGCUUUGGGCAUUUGCCAUUGUAUAGGAAACAUAGCCAUAUCUACCCAGUUGGCAGAAGUAUCCCAUGACUAUCCCAGGAUGAGAGGGACCCUGGAAAUUCAUAGACUCUGAGACUGAUUAGGAAGCUAGGGUUGUGGAUGUCAUUGUUAUAAGCCAAAAGGAGAAAUAACCGUAUCUUAUGCAAAUCUAUCUCUUCUCUAUAAAAUCAACUCUACAGAAAUGCAUAGGCAACUAUAAUUGAGACCCAGAAAGUUGAAGAAAUAUUUUAACGGAAGCAGAAGGUAAGUAGGUGUUCCAUAUAAAAAAGAGAAACCCAGAUUAUUACUAUCAGAUACUUAAGUGUCCUGAGGAUGCUGAGCUGUGCCUCCUGUGUGGAGGCACACAGGAUUCCUCCCAAAAAUAAAAAGGGUCACCCUGAUCAGUAAACAUUGGUAACUGGUUCCUCAUCUUCCUGGGUAGUGGUAGAGGGAGUGGGAGAGGUGGUGAGAAGGCAGCUAGAAAGCCAAGGAGCUGAAAUUUUGGGCAGAAUUUUUGACAGUUUCUGUGUAAGGAGGCUUCAAAGUUGGAGACCAGGCCUGCUAAGGAUAGGGGCACACUAGUAAAUCCCCAAUAUUUAACAGUGGAAGCCAAGAGGGCUAUACCAUACCAAGAGAAAGGUGGAUUUAAAAUAGGCCAUUAACAUUUCCCAUGGUGGAAGCCCUGUUUCACAUCUUAAUCUCUGAAAUUGGGUUAAAGUGAUCCAGGAUUGCUAAUGCUCCAGUCACCUACCAGAAGCAAAUGUAAAUCGCCUCUGAAGGAAGGCAGCAUAAUCUCAGACCUCAACUUAUUUUAAAAUUUUUUCUUAUACAACCAUCCAGCACUCCAUUAAAAAAAACCCAAACUUAAACACAGAACAAAAAAAAACCCCACCCAAAACACGAGAAAUAAUUGACACCAAAAACAGACUCACAGAGGAUCCAGGUCAUGAAGUUAUACACAUUUUAAAAUUUGUAAGCACACUAUGCCUUAAUGUGUUAAAGAAAAUAGAAGGCAAAAUGAGAAUUCAGCAGGAAAUUGAAAUCUUUCAGAAAGUAUCAUAUGGGAAUUUUAGAACAGAAAAGCACAAUAACUCAAUUAAAAACUCAGUGGGUAAGUUUCAGCAGAUUAGACAGAGAGAAUUACUGAACUGGAAGAUAGGUUAGGAGAAAAUAUAUAGAAUAAUUAGACUAAUAGCUGACUUUUUAACAGAAGCAAUGGAAGCAAGAAGACAGUGAAAUUACAUGGUUCAAGUACUGAAAGCAAUAAAUAAUAACUAAUGACCUACCUGUUGAAACCAUUCUUCAAUAAUUAGGGUGAAAUACAGA